rnacentral:rRNA from 1 species
UACGGGAGGCAGCAGUGGGGAAUAUUGGACAAUGGGCGCAAGCCUGAUCCAGCCAUGCCGCGUGAGUGAUGAAGGCCUUAGGGUUGUAAAGCUCUUUCACCGGAGAAGAUAAUGACGGUAUCCGGAGAAGAAGCCCCGGCUAACUUCGUGCCAGCAGCCGCGGUAAU